AAACUAAAUCGGCAAAACUAGAGAAAUUUAGUGACGCAAAGCUAUAGGGACUAACGCUUAUAAAAUAAGUUAUGUCAGCCAGUUGCCAAA
rfam:Clostridium difficile 630 complete genome